AACGAACGCUGGCGGCAUGCCUAACACAUGCAAGUCGAACGAACCCUUCGGGGUUAGUGGCGCACGGGUGCGUAACGCGUGGGAAUCUGCCCUUAGGUACGGAAUAACUCAGGGAAACUUGUGCUAAUACCGUAUGAUGACGAAAGUCCAAAGAUUUAUCGCCUAAGAAUGAGCCCGCGUAGGAUUAGCUUGUUGGUGAG
rnacentral:rRNA from 1 species